GAUGAACGCUGGCGGCGUGCCUAAUACAUGCAAGUCGAGCGAACAGACGAGGAGCUUGCUCCUCUGACGUUAGCGGCGGACGGGUGAGUAACACGUGGAUAACCUACCUAUAAGACUGGGAUAACUUCGGGAAACCGGAGCUAAUACCGGAUAAUAUAUUGAACCGCAUGGUUCAAUAGUGAAAGACGGUUUUGCUGUCACUUAUAGAUGGAUCCGCGCCGCAUUAGCUGGUUGGUAAGGUAACAGCUUACCAAGGCAACGAUGCGCAGCCGACCUGAGAGGGUGAUCGGCCACACUGGAACUGAGACACGGUCCAGACUCCUACGGGAGGCAGCAGUAGGGAAUCUUCCGCAAUGGGCGAAAGCCUGACGGAGCAACGCCGCGUGAGUGAUGAAGGUCUUCGGAUCGUAAAACUCUGUUAUUAGGGAAGAACAAAUGUGUAAGUAACUAUGCACGUCUUGACGGUACCUAAUCAGAAAGCCACGGCUAACUACGUG
rnacentral:rRNA from 1 species